rnacentral:rRNA from 1 species
UACGAAGGGGGCUAGCGUUGCUCGGAAUCACUGGGCGUAAAGGGUGCGUAGGCGGGUUUUUAAGUCAGGGGUGAAAUCCUGGAGCUCAACUCCAGAACUGCCUUUGAUACUGAAGAUCUUGAGUUCGGGAGAGGUGAGUGGAACUGCGAGUGUAGAGGUGAAAUUCGUAGAUAUUCGCAAGAACACCAGUGGCGAAGGCGGCUUACUGGACCGGUUCUGACGCUGAGGCGCGAAAGCGUGGGGAGCAAACAGG